rnacentral:lncRNA from 1 species
AUGUUCCGGCAAUUUGCCGGGUCCGACGUGCAGUGUGAAAGGGGUUUAACUGAGACAUGGCAGAAACCAGACGACUUUUUCCAUCUAAACGAGUGUGUUCCCCCAGGAUAUAGUUAUGUUUGUAAAUCUCGUGAUACGGGAAGGAGAGGGGGGCUAGCAAUACUUUAUAAAAAGAAAUUGAAAGUAUCUCAGUUAACUUUGUCUACAUAUUCUUCUUUUGAGUCAAUUGCCAUAAAAAUCAAUGGUGCGAUUCCAACCAUCCUCAUAACUAUCUACCGCCCUCCCAAGAGCAAUAAUGCCUUUUUAACUGAAUUAUCUGAAAUCUUGACUUAUCUAUGUUCCAUAUCUUCAAAUGUUAUCCUUCUUGGUGAUUUUAACAUUCAUACAGAUAAUGUCAGUAAUGCAUUUACAAGCGAAUUUUUAUCAUGUUUGGAUUGCUUUGGUAUACAACAAUUUAACACACUGCCCACUCAUACUAAGGGGCAUACUCUUGAUCUUGUUUGCUGCUCUGGUAUAACACCUUUUAAUUGUACUGUUUCUGAUCUGUCCAUAUCAGAUCACUUUCUGGUGUCAUUUUGUGCCAAACUGGCCAUUUUUAAGGUAAACCUGUGUCGCCCGAUUACAUUUCGGAAUAUUAAGAACAUUGAUUUGCCUACUUUUGCUGAUGAACUUGCCAUCUUUUCCAGUAAAUCUGAUUUCACUACUGUUGAUGAACUGGUAAAAUAUUACGAUGAUGGACUGAACAUGAUUUUAGAUGAAUUCGCACCCGUGAAAACUCGAACGGUUUCAUUUGUGCAUUCAGCUCCUUGGUUUACACCUGAACUGCGUGAACUUAAAACUAAAGGCCGUAGGUUAGAGCGGCUGUACAUCAGGUCUGGCCUUACUGUUCAUAAAGACAAGUAUGCUGAACAUAUUCAAAAUUAUAAAAAUGCACUGACUACAGCUAAAUCCGAUUACUACUCCAAUGUAAUUGGAGUUAGCAAUGGGAACUCUAGGUCUCUUUUCUUGGUGGUAAACAAUAUUCUGAAACCACCUGAUUCUUUGCCAUCUGAUAUGUAUUCCACUGACUUAUGUGAUCGCUUUUUGACUUUUUUUACAUCUAAGGUUGAAAAUGUACAUCGGCAAUUACUUACUGGUACUCUUCACAAUGACUCCUGUCAGUCUAUCACUCACACACCUCCCCACUCUGUUUUCUCUAACUACACUACCAACUAUUUCAGAGAUAGUGGGUCUGAUAUGUAA